UAAUUGAAGAGUUUGAUCAUGGCUCAGAUUGAACGCUGGCGGCAGGCCUAACACAUGCAAGUCGAGCGGAAACGAGAGAAAGCUUGCUUUCUCGGCGUCGAGCGGCGGACG
rfam:Vibrio mangrovi strain CECT 7927 genome assembly, contig: 0004